ACCAAUGCACAUAUACAAGAUACACAGCAAAAACAAAAUACACUCAUUUGCCAACACAAUCCCAGAGACGAUACAAACCAUUCAAAAAUUAAAGUGCACCAUUAGAAUUUAAAAACACAAAAAAUAAAACAAACCCAUUCUCCAGAUUCUUUUAAAAAGGGACAUUCUAAUUGAUUGAUCAAAAUAAAUAAAAAACUCAAACCCGAUGCUCUAAUAAACAUUCCAAUAACAGAAACAACACCAUUCAAAAAGAUAAAAAGAACCAAAAAUUGAUUAAUCA
rnacentral:lncRNA from 1 species